rnacentral:lncRNA from 1 species
UAGCUUCCUUUUUCUUCCCUGUGCCAAAAGAUGUUUUUCUACAGUCAUGGUAUAGUAUACAUUUUAUGUCUAGUUAUUUUACUAUUAACUUAAAUGUUUUACUUGUGCUUUAUUAUGGUAGAAUAUACUAAGCAUAAUCUUCCAUUUCGACAGUUUUAAGUUUAUAGUUCGCUGGCAUUAAAUACAUAGACACUGUUUUAAAACUGUUUCUGGAUUGUCUUUAGGUUCUUGUAUAUGAUUUUUAUGGAAUCUUAGACUUCUCGUUAGUCCUGACUUUAUGUGUAAUUGUGACGAUGAUUACUGUAGUUAUCAUUCAGCACAUGCCUGGGGAGUGUCUUCUGUGGGUCACUCCUGUGGUGACAGGCUCAUCUACAUCAGCUUGGAACUGGGAAGUGAGGGGAGCAUGUGCUGCCUUGAGGACUACAAUGGAAUGUUACCCCCGACAGAAAGAGUCAGUGUUUUAUGAAGCAGGGUGAGCAGGCAAAAAUAAUCGAGUUACAUAUGCCAGGGCCAACAGAUUCUUCAUUUGUGUGUCUAUUCUAAGACAUAUGGAACAAGGGCUACUUUAGGCUUCUUUGCAGAGCUAGCAGCAACAUUGUAGAUAUACUUUCCUCACAGGUUGUGUUUUUAUAGAUGAAUCUGUGCAUGUGGAAUUGUUGUGGCAAACGUGCCAAACACAUUGCUGUUUGUCCAACAUUGCUAAGACCAUGCUGAAUUCCUCGUAGAGCCAGAGCCUUUGUCAGUAGGCAUUGGCACCAACUCAGUUGAACAAACACUUUGCUCCGAGUUGCUUUCAGUGAUGUAAGGAGACAGAGAAAAUAGUUCCAUCUGCAUUACUGCACAAUACAUGCUUUUAGUCAUGAGUGGGCCAGCAACUGUGGGUGAGCCACAUUCUUUCAGGGUCUGUGGUAUUAGUUUUAGAAGUUGUCCUGCCUUAUUUUAAACUUCUUCAAAGAAGAUGAAAAGAAGUACUAUAUGUCUAUACUAGCUUCUCUACAGUAUAUGUGAGAAUUGUAGAUUAAUACCUUCUCAUUUAGUGGCCACUAAAAUGAAUUGGGCAGGUCUAAUUAGUAUAUUUAUUAUAUAUGCGAGGUAAUCAAUGGCUUAGUGAUGAGUUGUUGUUGUUUUUUAAACGAUUGAAUGCACUAACAGGAAAAUUGACAUUUGGAUACAUCUUGAAAUUUCUAAAUAAUACUAUUAAUUAGCUAAUAGUAUCUGGAUUAAUUAACAGUCUAAGCAGUUUGUCUUAAAGCCAGCUCCCAAGUUGCAUGUGUACAUAGUGAUGAUGAUUAGCUGACCAUUCAGUACUUAACAUGGUACCAUUCCUUGAACUUUCUGAAUGUCAGCUCUUGCUUCUCAGCCACAUUUCGACCAAAAAUCUAUUAUAUGAUAAUCUGGUACCUUGUACAUUAAUUUGCCUACUUUGCCUUUUAUUAGAUUAGUCAGCUUUUCUACAGUAUAUUCCCAUACCAAUGUGUUUUGAUCUCCUAAAGCAAAUAUUUAUUCUUAUAUAACAUU